rnacentral:rRNA from 1 species
CACGUAGGGGGCGAGCGUUGUCCGGAUUCAUUGGGCGUAAAGAGCUCGUAGGCGGCUCAGUAAGUCGGGUGUGAAACCCUCAGGCUCAACCUGGGGACGCCACUCGAUACUGCUGUGGCUAGAGUCCAGUAGAGGAGUGUGGAAUUCCCGGUGUAGCGGUGAAAUGCGCAGAUAUCGGGAGGAACACCAACGGCGAAGGCAGCACUCUGGGCUGGAACUGACGCUGAGGAGCGAAAAGCGUGGGGAGCGAACGAG